GGGCUCGGAGCUGAGGCUGGCUGACUUUUGUUUCCAGUCUCCCUGGACAGCCAUUGAUUUGAAUCGAUUAUAGCCCUGGUGGGCGAGGAAUGCGGCCCUCACUGAUGUCCGGAACCCGAGCAAUGGAAGGUGAUGAGGACUCCUACGGUUGGGCUGAGACGCUCCUGCCCCACUCCUACAUCCGGGGGUCGGGGGUCGGAGACGCAGUUCCCUGGAGGAGGCUUCGGGAUCCAGCCCAGUUUCUCCCGGCGAUGAAGAAACUGAGGCAAAGAGCACUGAGUAACUUGAUCAGGGCUACAGCUGGUCAAUGAAUAUUACUUCAAAGGAUUCACAAAUACCACUCCUCCCUCCAGUUUCAUGAAUGGGCCCAGAGUCCACAGACCACAUCCCCCACACAUAUAUACAUUUUGUUAAGAGGGCCUAGAAAGUUAAAAUGGGAUCAGAUUUGAUGAGCUAUCUAAGUGGCCUGUGAA